GGCCUUAUGGUCUAGUAGCAUGAUUCCUCGUUUGGGUCUUUAAAUCGAGGAGGUCACGGGUUCAAUUCCCGUUGAGGCCC